AGUGAACGCUGGCGGUAGGCCUAACACAUGCAAGUCGAACGGCAGCACAGUAAGAGCUUGCUCUUACGGGUGGCGAGUGGCGUACGGGUGAGGUAUACAUCGGAAUCUACUUUUUCGUGGGGGAUAACGUAGGGAAACUUACGCUAAUACCGCAUACGCCCUACGGGUGAAAGCAGGGGAUCUUCGGACCUUGCGCGAUUGAAUGAGCCGAUGUCGGAUUAGCUAGUUGGCGGGGUAAAGGCCCACCAAGGCGACGAUCCGUAGCUGGUCUGAGAGGAUGGUCAGCCACACUGGAACUGAGACACGGUCCAGACUCCUACGGGAGGCAGCAGUGGGGAAUAUUGGACAAUGGGCGCAAGCCUGAUCCAGUCAUACCGCGUGGGUGAAGAAGGCCUUCGGGUUGUGAAGCCCUUUUGUUGGGAGAGAAAAGCAGCAGGUUAAGACCCCGCUGUUCUGACGGUACCCAAAGAAUAAGCACCGGCUAACUUCGUG
rnacentral:rRNA from 1 species